AUGGUCCGGCUCUUGACGGUCACCCUCGGUUGCAUCAGCUUCCUCUACCUGCAGCUCCCAGGCGCGCUGUCCCUCGGCCUGGCCCGGAGCCGGCCGCCCGCGCGACCCAGGUUCUGCAGCAGCCAACCUCGAAUGACUGUGGACACAGAAGCCAGUGCACGUGUGUGGACCCAGCAGAUCCUGAACACCCAGGGGCUCUGCCCCUGGGGAGUAUAACACUUGGAGGCGGUUGGCAGCAUUAGAGGACAGGGUCUGCCCAAGGACGUAGGGCAGAUGCCAGGGACCUGAACACCCUGGGCCACCUCUGGGCAAGCAGGAGAGAGGAGGGGCCCAGAGGUGGCCCAGCAUGGCCUCUUCCCUGCUGGUCCUGACAUGGUAGGGUUAAGGCUGGACUGCCCUGUUCCAGCUGGACCCAAGGUCACGAUGCAGACUCCCUGCCUGGGUGCCCUGAGGGCAGCUGGGGAAAGGGUGCAGGGGUUCUGGGGCAGAGCAGGGCAGAACACCCUUCCCACUCCUUAGGGCAGGGUGGGAGUGGGGCGGGGCAAAUCUCCCAGCCCAAAUCUCUCAGUUAAGGCGGAAGCACCACCACCUCAAGGUGGGUAGGGAUGGCCGAACAGGGGUUGGGGCCCCGCGGGCCACAGGGGCUCCCUGGGCCCCAUCCUGCCCGGCGUGGGGACAACAGGAGGCUGGAGCAGGCUUGCCAGGAGCCUGGGGGAGGGGACUGGCCUCAAAUUAUCUGAAGAACAAGUCCACAGCCAGGGGGCGGAGUUCUUGGUGUGUGUCUGCCCCCACCCCCCACCCGCCACGGGGGAGGGGGAGGGGCUUUAAGUGCUGUGACACCAGAGCCUUUUGCUAGUCCUGUAGUACUGGCGCCCAAUGCCUCACGGGUUCAGAAAUGUGGUUUCCGUUAUUUAACAAAUGUUCAUACAGCACUUAAUUUGUCGAUGUUUGCCAUGUCACCCUCUCAGCCACCCUGUGAAGAGAGCAUGCCUUUAUCCCAGCUCUGCAGCCAGAGAUCAGGAAGGCACCUGCGGUCCCUGCAGUGCCCACCCACAGAGCCCAUACCCUGGGUCGCUGGCAGGCCUGCCCCUCAGACCCCCGGGGGCCCCCUAAGGGCGGGAGGCUCCUGGACGCGCCAUCUGGCCUCCCACCCUUGCGCUUGCUCUUCCAGCUCAGGGCUCCCCUUCCUUCCACCAGGCCCCGUGGGAAUAGUUCAGGCUGGGGAGAUGAAUUGAGGACAGCAGGGGCCCCGGGGGAGGAGCCGAGAGCGCCCAGGCCCUGAGCCCAGGGGAGGCGUGGAUGUUGGGGGGAGGCUGGAACAGGUGUGUGCGUGGGGGCUGGAUGGGCGGCAGGCUGGGCCUCAGAGCUGGGAGCCUGUGGCCACCGAGGGGUGUAGAGCAGGCAGGGAGGGUGGGCUAUGGCACAGGGCCAGGGGGACUGGGGGGUAAGGAAGAGGAGGGCUCCGGGAGGGCCGAGUCAGGGAGAGUCAGGAGCUCAGCUCGGCCCAGAUCCUCCCUGGCCUCGGCCCUGGGGUAAAGUCCCUUGCGGUCUGGUUCUCCACGCGGGAUGCUCCCCCUGCCAGAACACCACCCCACACUGCACCCUCCUUGUGGCAACGCAGACUGCCAGGAGGCCCCCAGGAUUGCACCACCUGGUGCCCUUGCCCAGGUGCUGCCUGAGCCUUGGGCUGUUUUUCCUUAGGGUCGCCCGCCAUGGUCACAGCAUCGCACUGUGGUCCACAUGGCCCCUGAGCUCCAGACCGUGUCCUGGCUGCCUAUCUGACACCCCACUUGGAGGCCUGGUGGCAGCCCCCCAGCUCCCCCACCCGCUGCCCCUCUCCUGCCUCAUCUGGAUCCACCGGCCGGCCCUUUGUCCCUUCUCUUGGUCCAAGCCACCACCUGCUUUGGGGUCAUGGUUCCAGCCCCCACCCCACCUCCCCAGGCCCCUCUCCAUCCUUGCAAGCCACCACCUGCUUUGGGGUCAUGGUUCCAGCGCGCAUCCCACCUCCCCAGGCCCCUCUCCAUCCUUGCAGCCAGUAUUUUCUGAGCACUUGUGGAAACAGCGAAUAAACCCUGUCCCCCGCCCCCAGGGACCGAGAUUCCAGCGGGAGGAGGCAGAGGAAACCAACCUCAAAAGUGCGUGAGGGAUGCACGUGCACCUGGGAAGCUGGAGGCGCUAUGGGCUCACACGGGCCGAAAUCACUUUGCCGUUUUAAGUGGGGCCUGGUUGAUUCUCAGCGUGGGCAGGAGGCGCCUCGCGGAGUGCCCAGCACCUCGCCCACUGCCCUCUCCCCUCCCACUCACCCUGACGGCGCUCGGUGCCCGUCCUUCGCCAGAGCGCCGGCCUCUUUCCAGUGACGGGACCGUCAGCUCCAGGUGGUGCGGUCCCUGCUGUGUCCUCACUGCCUAACUCAGCCCGCACAUGACCAGCGCUGUGAAUUCAUCUCUGCCCUGACUCGAGAUGGAGCCCCUCGCCCCAAGAGCCUGACAAAGACCCCCUGGACCAAACGUGAGCCCAAGACUCCAGCCUCGCCCAGUAUUAGCAAGAAUCACACCCUUGACAGAAUCCUGGGGUUUAGCAAGAGCGCCCCCACCCUUGAUGUCUCUCCUCUGGCUAUCUUCCCUCCUGACCCCUGCCCACCCAGCCCACCCCAGGCCCCCUCCCUGCCUGGUGGCUGUAAAUCCCCAGCUGACUGUGCUGGGGAUUUACUCUGUGUUCAGAGUGGAGCCCGACCUCUCCCUUCUAGGAAAACGUGAAUAAAGUCUUCUAUCCCAUUUUAACAAGUGUCAAAAUGACUUUCUGAAAUAAGCCCCGCCCCGCCCCGCCCCAAAUCCCAGGUGCCUGGGGAUGAUAGGGUGUUGGGAGGGGCCUACCGCCUGGGGCAUGGAGGUGUUUAAAGCUUGGGAAGCAGGAGUGGGAGUCUGGCUACAGAGCAGCCUCGACCCCCCAGGCAGGUCAGUUGCUCCAGGGACG